rnacentral:rRNA from 1 species
UACGAAGGGGGCUAGCGUUGCUCGGAAUCACUGGGCGUAAAGGGUGCGUAGGCGGGUCUUUAAGUCAGGGGUGAAAUCCUGGAGCUCAACUCCAGAACUGCCUUUGAUACUGAGGAUCUUGAGUUCGGGAGAGGUGAGUGGAACUGCGAGUGUAGAGGUGAAAUUCGUAGAUAUUCGCAGGAACACCAGUGGCGAAGGCGGCUCACUGGUCCGAUACUGACGCUGAUGCACGAAAGCUGGGGGAGCAAACAGG